GACGAACGCUGGCGGCGUGCCUAACACAUGCAAGUCGUACGGGGACCGGGGGCAACUCCGGUUCAGUGGCAGACGGGUGCGUAACACGUGAGGAACUUGUCCGGUGGCGGGGGAGUAGCCGGCCCAACGGCCGGGUAAUACCGCAUACGCUCGUUCGGGGGCGAUCCCUGGGCGAGGAAAGCAGCCGCAAGGUUGCGCCGACGGAGGGCCUCGCGACCUAUCAGCUUGUUGGCGGGGUAACGGCCCACCAAGGCGACGACGGGUAGCUGGUCUGAGAGGAUGAUCAGCCACAUUGGGGACUGAGACACGGCCCAGAUCCUACGGGAGGGCAGCAGUGGGGGAAUAUUGCGCAAUGGCCGCAAGGCUGACGCAGCGACGCCGCGUGUGGGA
rnacentral:rRNA from 1 species